CAUACUUGUCUGCUCCAAGUCGCUGGAUACCUCUGCUCCCAGGGGCGCUGCACGUGUGCUAGCGUUGCCCUCAAUUUGUAACUCCACGAACGGUGUCUCUGAGCUGCUUUACCUCGCCCUAGGACGCCAUCCCACCGCUGCCACCAAUGUAACGGAUCGCCUGGCACCCCGACUGGGUACCUCCGUUGAAGGAUGCUCCUAGCGCUUCCUGAGGA